rnacentral:rRNA from 1 species
CACAGAGUUAGCCGGUGCUUAUUCUGUCGGUAACGUCAAAACAAUUACGUAUUAGGUAACUGCCCUUCCUCUCAACUUAAAGUGCUUUACAAUCCGAAGACCUUCUUCACACACGCGGCAUGGCUGGAUCAGGCUUUCGCCCAUUGUCCAAUAUUCCCCA